GUGGGGAAUAUUGCGCAAUGGGGGCAACCCUGACGCAGCAAUACCGCGUGAGUGAAGAAGGUUUUCGGAUCGUAAAACUCUUUUAUUGGGGAAGAAGAAGUGACGGUACCCAAUGAAGAAGUCCCGGCUAACUACGUGCCAGCAGCCGCGGUAAUACGUAGGGGACAAGCGUUGUCCGGAAUCACUGGGCGUAAAGGGCGCGUAGGCGGUUUUAUAAGUCAGAUGUGAAAGGUACCGGCUCAACCGGUGACGUGCAUUUGAAACUGUAAGACUUGAGUACUGGAGAGGCAAGUGGAAUUCCUAGUGUAGCGGUGAAAUGCGUAGAUAUUAGGAGGAACACCAGUGGCGAAGGCGACUUUCUGGACUGUAACUGACGCUGAGGCUCGAAAGCCAGGGGAGCGAACGGGAUUAGAUACCCCAGUAGUCC
rnacentral:rRNA from 1 species